CCCAGGGCUUGCGCCCUGGGCUACUAUCUUUCGCCCCUACCGGGGCU
rnacentral:sRNA from 1 species